AUUGAACGCUGGCGGCAUGCCUUACACAUGCAAGUCGAACGGUAACGGGCUUUCGGGUGCCGACGAGUGGCGAACGGGUGCGUAAUACAUCGGAACGUGCCCGAUCGUGGGGGAUAACGAGGCGAAAGCUUUGCUAAUACCGCAUACGAUCUACGGAUGACAGCAGGGGACCGCAAGGCCUUGCGCGGACGGAGCGGCCGAUGGCAGAUUAGGUAGUUGGUGGGAUAAAAGCUUACCAAGCCGACGAUCUGUAGCUGGUCUGAGAGGAUGAUCAGCCACACUGGGACUGAGACACGGCCCAGACUCCUACGGGAGGCAGCAGUGGGGAAUUUUGGACAAUGGGCGCAAGCCUGAUCCAGCCAUGCCGCGUGCAGGAUGAAGGCCUUCGGGUUGUAAACUGCUUUUGUACGGAACGAAAAGCCGUCUUUUAAUACAGGAGGGUCAUGACGGUACCGAAAGAAUAAGCACCGGCUAACUACGUG
rnacentral:rRNA from 1 species